rnacentral:lncRNA from 1 species
AAUGGAAGAUGCUGUUUUAUUGUGAAUAGAUUUGAACAUAUGGCAGCAUCCUUCAAUAUGGUUACUAAGUUAACUUUUUUUUUCAUUUGGUAAAGUUGCAUUACUUUCCCCAAUACCCAAACAUGCUGGCUGUGUCACCCUAAAUGCAGAAAGACCAAACCUUAGCAUACUUCUUCUACUUGAAAGAGUAGAUAAAGCUGUUUUUGAAACAAAACCUCACAUUAAUAGUAGUCUCAUGUCAGUUCAAAUAUUUAUUGAUGAUACAUUAUAAAUCAAAUAAAUAGUAUGGGGCCAUUCCCCUUCAGAGCUCAUAGGUUAUUACUGGUGGAAGGGGGAAUGGGGGAUUAUGAAUACACAAAUCAUUUGGUGUUAAUAGUCUCUACAUGAGAAUGGAUAUCAAAAGAAAAAAAUUAAGUAUAUAUAGUUCCACAACAUUUUUCAUCAUUUCCAUCACAAUCUAACAGUCUUGAGGCUGAGAGACGUGUGUUGAUGAAGUCCCCGAGGUUGACUUCUCCCCAGCUGCUUACCUCAUAAGCCAGUUCAGUACAUUGUGCCUUCAAUUCUAGCCACAUUUUUUCCAAUUCCUCCUCCACCUCUUCCUCCUUUUUCUCCUUUCCCUCUUCUUUUGUUUUGAAAUGUCUUAUAUUGCCUUAAUUUUUGAAAAAUUGUUCAGAUAUAAAAGUCUAUUUUAACAAGUUUUUCUCCCCUCUUUUUAGCACUGUGAAGAUGUUUUUCCAUGGUUUUCUGGUUUUCAUUAUCUCUGAUGAAAGUUUCAGUUAUUUAUCCCUUGGUUCCUUUGUUCAUUGAAGGUAUUUUGUCUUAUGGUUGUUUCAAAGUUUUUUAAUAUUACUCCUCAGCAAUUUGGUUAUAAUGUUUUAGUAUAGUUUUCUUUACAUUUUUCUUGACUGAAGUUGAGUUCCUUAAAUCUGUGAGCUUAUCAUUUUAAGAAAAUUUGGAAAAACUUUGGUCAUUAAUUCUUCAAAUGUUGCUUUUAUGAACUGACCUCCUGCCCCAUAUUCCUGGAAUUUGAGUCAUAUAAAUGUUAGACCCAUUAAUGUUGACUUACUGGUUACUGAGGUUCUGUUAUUUUUUUCAGUUUUCUCUCUGUGCUCCCGUUGGCAUAGUUUCUACAGCUCAGUUUUAAAGUUCAUUUUUUUUUUCUUCAUCAGUGUCUCAUUUUCCAUUAAGCAACUCAUUAAUUUUUUAACAUUAUACAUUUUUCCACUCUGGAAUGAAUUGAUUCUUCUAAAUUUAUAGUUUAUUUCUCAAUUAUUUGCAUGUUUUUCUUUAAAUCCUCUGUACUAUCCAUUUAAAGUCCCUGUCUGGUAAUUCCAUAUUUCAAUCAUUUGUUCUGAUUUUUUUCUGAUUAUAGGUCACAUAUUCUUGCUUCUUCAAAUGUCCAGUAAUCAUGGAUUAAAUAUAUAUUUUUCAUUCUUGAAUGUUUGGAUUAUU